CCGGUCACAUUAUAAGAAGUGACACACGGACACGUGACUCGCCCGCCUCUCCUGACACCACUCCGCCCCGCCCCCAUACGUCACACCAGUAACGCUCAAACAUGAGGCGGCCGGAGGACAUUGACCUUGUACCGGUACCGCUUAGCAGGUCCAGUGUCUCCGCGCCGCAGUGUUUGUCUGUACCGUGCCCGUGUCCUGUGUGCUCGGCAUGGAGCUGAAAGAGAACGGGGCGCGGAGGAAAGCUGGGCUCCUGCCCCGGGGAGGCUGGGUGCUGCCCACCUGUGUGCUCUGCGCCAAUGGCUUCUUUGCCAACCUCAGACCCUCGGAACCCUUCCUCACCCCGUACCUGCUGGGGCCGGACAAGAACCUCACCGAGAGGCAGGUGUUCAAUGAGAUUUAUCCGGUCUGGACAUACUCAUACUUGAUCCUGCUCUUCCCAGUCUUCCUUGCUACUGACUAUCUACGGUACAAGCCUGUGAUCCUCCUGCAGGGCCUCAGUCUUAUCAUUACCUGGUUCAUGCUCCUCUACGCUCAGGGAACUCUGGCCAUCCAGUUUCUUGAAUUCUUUUAUGGUAUUUCCACAGCAACCGAGAUAGCCUAUUAUUCUUAUAUAUACAGUAUGGUGGAGCCUGGCGUCUACCAGAAAGUGACCAGCUACUGCCGUAUUGCUACAUUGACUGGCUUCACCGUAGGUUCGGUUACGGGCCAGGUUCUGGUGUCUGCAGCCCACUGGCCUCUAUUUUAUCUGAAUAUCAUCUCCUUAAUAAGUGUUUCCAUAGCAUUUUCUGCUGCUUGGUUCUUACCAAUGCCAAGGAAAAGUCUUUUUUUCCACCAACACUUAAUUGAUGGCAAAGAAAACAAGAGAGUCGACUCUGGGAGGAGAGGAAACCAACAUAAUGGUAACCUGGAGGUCGCUGCUGAGCUUGAGGAGAUUGAAGCCCAAGUUCCCCUGAAUACUGAUGAGCACAAUGCUGAGGGCCAGAAGAAGAAGGUUACUCUGAAGAACGUGCUCAGAAUAUUGUGGAAGGAUUUCUUGCACUGCUAUUCGUCCCGCACCCUCCUCUGCUGGUCAGUCUGGUGGGCCUUGUCUACAUGCGGAUACUUCCAGGUGGUGAACUAUUCUCAGGGAUUAUGGGAAAAAGUGGCUCCAUCUUCUCAUUCAGAUAUUUACAAUGGAAGCGUUGAAGCGGUGUCUACACUCCUAGGUGCGGUUGCUGUUUUUUUUGUUGGCUAUGUUAAAAUUUCAUGGUCCACUUGGGGUGAGCUGCUGCUAGCUGCUUUUGCUCUAAUCAUUGCGGUGACCGUAUACAUCAUGGAUGUCAUUGUAAACAUUUGGGUGUGCUACGUCAUGUAUGUCAUCUUUAGAAGUAUCUACAUGAUUCUCAUCACAAUAGCGACAUUUCAGAUUGCGGCUAAUCUAAGUAUGGAGUGCUAUGCCCUUGUUUUUGGAGUUAACACUUUCACUGCCUUGCUAUUACAAACUCUCAUCACAGUCAUAGUUGUGGAUUCCAGUGUCCUUGGCUUAGAUUUAUUUACACAAUUUAAAAUUUAUGCUGGAUAUUUUGCAGUUAUUGCAAUAAUAUUUUUUGCGAGCGGACUCUACCACAUUAUGAAAAAAUGUCAACGACUAAAGCAAAAGAAGCUGGAUUCUUCAGGGACUUGAAAGCUGCCAUAAAAUACAGGCAUCUUGUAGAUAAUGAAGUAUCUCUCCUGAGACAGAGAUGUGACCUCCUUACCGAAACUGCAGACCAUUGCUUUUACAGACCCCUUUAGACAGCAGGGCUCCCCCCCCCCCCCCCCCACCUUGUAGACAGCUGUCCUGUUGGGGGCUGCCGCUCCGCUGCACAGUUCUCCCGUCCGCAUCACGUUGUCCUAUGGAGGACCAUGUGACACACAUCACUCUGCUUCCUCCGUAACGUUACGCCGGGCGCAGGGGAGGUGGUGGAGUGACGUGUAUGUCAUAGUCCUCCAUAGGACAACGUAAUGCGGACGGGAGAACGGGACAGCCAGACGAAGCGAGUAACCCGUGCAAAACAUCGGCUGUUGUCCAUUUCACAUACCCCCCCCCCCCCCCCCCAUUGUGUCCCUCCCCCGCUGUUGUCAUGUGAGUAUUAUCUUCAAUAAAAUAAGCCUGAGAAGCACUGGUGAGUUGCCGACUGUUUUCAUCUUCUAUAUCCUUGCUGUUUUCUACUGUGCCUAGCCAGAGCACCACCGCUACUCUAUAUGCGACUCACAAUCAGUUACCCGCACACCUAGAUCUCGUCAUACAGUGAAUAGCAGUGCCGGUCUAAACCUUUUCUCUUGCUUGCUUCAUUCAUUCACUGCCGCCACUGACGGCAGACAACGAAUCUGGCGAUUAUUCGAUAACGGGAUUCGUCAACAACGAAUCCCGAUAUAGAUUUAAAUCGAUUAAUCGUUGCAGCCCUACUAUUCAGUCAAAUGGCCAUAAUAGAUUACAAGUGUGUGGUCAGACAUUGCUUUCUCUAGUGAUCAUAGCUGAUUGCCAGGGCUAGACCUUGAGUAGUUUUUAUUUAAAGGCGUUGUUUCGUGAGGCCUUUAUUUUUUUUAUUUUUUUUAAAUAUAUAUAUUUUUUUAAUACUAUCAUGACAUUUCAGUAGUUAUACAGUAACCCCCCGACAUAUGAAAAAAUCGACAUAUGAUGGCCUCUCAGAGGCAAUCGCAUGUCGAUGUCAGCAUCGACAUACGAUGCUUUUAUAAUGUCGGGGCCAUCGCAUUAACUGCUAUCCGACAGCGCAAAAUGCUUAAGCUGCUGUCGGAUAGCAGUUUAAGCAUCCUGGACAGGUUCGCUUACCUAUCCCCGCUGCUCCGGGUCCACUUCGCGAUCCUCCGGCGUCUUCUGUAUCUUCUCCAGAGUCUGGGCCUCGCUUUCCGGCGUUGUUUUUACGUCACUACGCACGCCGUGCCAGCGCAGCAGCAGCAUAAUAACGUCACCAGAAAGCGAGGCCCGGACCCUGCAGAAGAUGCGGAAGAAGCCAGAGGAUCCUGAAGACGACACCGAGCCCCUGGGACAGCAUCGGGAGCCCCUGGGACAGCAUCGGGAGCGGUGAGGACGCGGUCCGGAGCGGCGGGGACAGGUGAGUACAGCUUCCUAUAUUUUACAUUGUCGAAUCCAUAGUAUGUUGAGGGAUCCAUGCAAACGAUGGGUCGUUUGGAACGUAUUACCAUCGUAUGUUGAGGGACCACUGUACUUGUAAAAUACAGCAUUGAGGUGAAGAAGUCAGUAGAUGCUUUUAGUGCAGAAUGCUUCCUCCAAUGGCCAAUAACUGUGUAAUAUCUGUGAGCAGUCUACUUGAGUAUUCAUAUAUUAUGACUGUGUAUCACCUUAUACAGUGAACUGUAUCUCAUACUUCAACUAGGCACGGUGUGGAGUCAGGCAUAGCAUUCUACAGUGCUCAGUCUGUAUGCUUUUGCUAAAACCUAUUGACUGCUUUGUCCAGCUGGACACAGCCUUUUUAGGCUGAAGUGAGUUUACUCAUCUAAAAUAAUGUUCAAGUUGUAAAUCUUUGAAGCAUUUGCUGUGCUGACCAAAUCUGCACCCUGACUCAACCCUUCUCAGCAAAUGUGAUUUAAAAUACAUUAUCACAUCCAUUAUAUUUUUCAAUGUAUCUUAUGAACCACAACACACAGAAGUUGCCUAGCCUCUAGCCUUAAAGCGUACCGGGCAUAUCAGAGAAAAAAAAUUAUAACAAUGUUUAUAUAUGUUACUCAUUAGGUCAUGCAGAUGCUGUACAUGCCUUUGUGUCUAGCUUCCAUAUGUGGCUUACAAAUCCCUCUAUUCUGCUGCUCAUUCAUUCUGACAUCUACUGCUCAAAAAGGGCCGUGUCCGAAGUAAGCACUGAGCUUGCCAUCGCUCACCAUGCAUUCACCUCCUCAGUCUGGUGUGCUGGGUCUUUUCAUCGAGUUACUGCAGGCUGCUCUGUAACCCCCUCCUCUGUUUUCAUGCUGCAGUCUGAUACAGGACAAGAGUGAGCACAAAGGAGUGAUAGUCCUGCCAUCACUUACUGAAAUUUGUACCACUGUGUGCUUCAGCUGUGGUCUUUUUUUUUUAUUUUUAGAAGCCAUGAUUUCUAUAAAAAGGAGACAAAGCAUUUUGAUAAAGUAUAUUAGGUUAUUAUGUUUUGCCACAAUGUACAACAUCUAAAAAUGUUUACUUCUGACAGUGCCCAUUUAAGCUGCCCUUUCACAUAAGAAAAUCGAUAAUGUUACACACAGGUGUGGAAGUCUAUAUACAAUACAUCUCAAAGGAACAGACUCCUUUUCAGUUUCUCUAGCUUAUUAGACAUAUUUAUCAGAAACCUUUUGGACCUUUCGUCCUUUCUCCAGCUGAGAGUUGAGCUUAGAGACACAUAUGACCUGGUCCAGGAGCCACCUAUGUGCUGUAAAGAAUUUCUUAUAAGCCACUGGUGGCACUGUAAGCCGCACUGUGUAAGCCUGAAACCUCUUUUGAGACCGGUAGAACAGGGAAAAUAUAGUUGAGUCUUUAGUGCUGUUCCAUGAAGAUUUCUUGCGCACGCGCGCACACACAUAUAUGGUUGUAGAAAUGGCUGAUUUUGAGAAUUUAGUCUGACCUCCAUUUAAAAAUGUAUAUCUGAACGCUUGUGAUGACUACGGUCUGCAAAAAAAAAAAUCUAUUAUGUUGAAAUCUUUUUUUUUUUGUGUUGUUAAUUAGGUAAGCAUGGUCUGACCGUCCGAUUAUAGCUGACCGAUCGCCACUUUUUGUUUUAGCGCAUUUCACUUUAUAAAAAGAUGUGCUUGUUCUAUCCAACAAAUGAUUGAUUCCAGACAGUCGUAAUAUUAUGUGUAUGGCUAGCUUUAGCUUGUAAGUGUCUUAUAGUUACUACUGAAAAACAAAUUAUACUUAAAGGGGUACUCCGCUGGAGCCGGGAGCUUGUGACUUCAUAGCCCCCCCUCAUGACAUGACACCCAGCCCUUUCAAUGUGCAAGUCUAUUUGAGCGGGCGUUACAGCUGUUUGUUCCAAACGCUAAGCAGCGGAGUACCCCUUUAACUUGUUAGGCUCGGUUCAGUUCUCAUUUCCUGCUCAAUUUUCUGUUCUGUCAUAGGAACCAAAAAAUAAAUAAAAAUGGCCCGUAACUUUAUAAUAAGUUCUCAAGGUUUUUCCAUUGUGGGUUUUAACAUUUUACUAAGUGUUGUAUGCUGUGCAAUUCUUUCCAGUAGAUAUGGCAAACUCUGCAACUGUGGCUGCGUAUGGAGCCUUGCUCAGAUGAGUCCAAGUUUUUCUGCAGUGUUAUCCAAUCAAUGCCUUCAUGUAGAAAUGUGUAUUUUUCAUAUUCCAAAGACGUCUAUACAUUGCUAUCAUUCCAAUCAAAUAAAAUGUAAUUGUAUUUUGCAGUCACAAGGACUGUUCUUGACAUGGAAAUGUACCUCUAGCUACAAACAGAAAAAUGAUUUAUACAGAAAAUAUGUCCACAGUAAUAAAACUGGAUCCAUCUCAGUGAAUGUGUCUAAUGUGCUUUAAAAUUGCUUUAUUUAAUUUUUUUUAUAUUCCUGUAAAGUACAUAUUCUUACCAUAUAAAUUAAGGCCUGAUGCACAUGGCACAGUCAUGAUCACGAUGCCAUACAUAUAGUCCCUACAGGUCCUUAUUACAGCCUUCAUGGUAAUUGUAUAGUGCUUCCAAACAGGCCUGUAUUAGAAAGGUACUACAGCUCCCAGCAUGCCUGGACCGCAAAAAAACUUGAGUUUCUCAAAAAAAAAAAAAAAUCAUGGAGAUAAAUACACUUUUUUUUGUACUUGUCAGGUUUUCCACAAUACAGAGUCAAAUGUGAUCAUGGGGCUUCAGUUACUUUCAUCCAGCCAUCUUUUGUUUUUUCUUUGAGUAAUGUUACUUAUUUUUUGGAAUGGAAUUUGGAUACAUGUUCAUGCAAAUGCACCUUUAAAAUCAUUGUAAACACUAAACAUAAGAAUUUUGGAAAGCACCUAAUCUGCCCCCUCAGAUGUAUGUGCUAUUAUUGUGGAAUGGGAAAGUGUCUGUCUAGGUCAUGCAUCUGUGUACAGAGAAUUAAA